rnacentral:rRNA from 1 species
UACGUAGGGGGCAAGCGUUGUCCGGAUUUAUUGGGCGUAAAGCGCGUGUAGGCGGCCAGGUAGGUCCGUUGUGAAAGCUCGAGGCUCAACCUCGAGACGCCGGCGGAAACCAUCUGGCUAGAGUCCGGAAGAGGAGAGUGGAAUUCCCGGUGUAGCGGUGAAAUGCGCAGAUAUCGGGAAGAACACCCGUGGCGAAGGCGGCUCUCCGGGACGGUACUGACGCUGAGACGCGAAAGCGUGGGGAGCGAACAGG